AUUCAUACACAAAAUCCCUGAUAAACUUGGAACGAUAUAGGGAAGAUUAGCAAGGCCCCUACAAAAGGAUGAUAGAAUUCAUACGCAAAAGAAAAUGAUGAUU